AAUAGAUACCCGGGUAGUCCACGCCGUAAACGAUGAGUGCUAAGUGUUAGAGGGUUUCCGCCCUUUAGUGCUGCAGCAAACGCAUUAAGCACUCCGCCUGGGGAGUACGGCCGCAAGGCUGAAACUCAAAGGAAUUGACGGGGGCCCGCACAAGCGGUGGAGCAUGUGGUUUAAUUCGAAGCAACGCGAAGAACCUUACCAGGUCUUGACAUCUCCUGACAACCCUAGAGAUAGGGCGUUCCCCUUCGGGGGACAGGAUGACAGGUGGUGCAUGGUUGUCGUCAGCUCGUGUCGUGAGAUGUUGGGUUAAGUCCCGCAACGAGCGCAACCCUUGAUCUUAGUUGCCAGCAUUCAGUUGGGCACUCUAAGGUGACUGCCGGUGACAAACCGGAGGAAGGUGGGGAUGACGUCAAAUCAUCAUGCCCCUUAUGACCUGGGCUACACACGUGCUACAAUGGAUGGUACAAAGGGCUGCAAGACCGCGAGGUUAAGCGAAUCCCAUAAAACCAUUCUCAGUUCGGAUUGCAGG
rnacentral:rRNA from 1 species